GAUGAACGCUGGCGGUAUGCUUAACACAUGCAAGUCGAACGGACUCUUCGGAGUUAGUGGCGGACGGGUGAGUAACGCGUGAGAAUCUUGCUUUGGGUUCGGGACAACCACUGGAAACGGUGGCUAAUACCGGAUGUGCCGAGAGGUAAAAGAGAAAUUUCCUGAAGAUGAGCUCGCGUCUGAUUAGCUAGUUGGUGAGGUAAAGGCUCACCAAGGCAGCGAUCAGUAGCUGGUCUGAGAGGAUGACCAGCCACACUGGGACUGAGACACGGCCCAGACUACUACGGGAGGCAGCAGUGGGGAAUUUUCCGCAAUGGGCGAAAGCCUGACGGAGCAAUACCGCGUGAGGGAAGAAGGCUCUUGGGUUGUAAACCUCUUUUCUUAGGAAAGAACAAAAUGACGGUACCUAAGGAAUCAGCAUCGGCUAACUCCGUG
rnacentral:rRNA from 1 species